CCAACAACGCGUGUGCCUGUGCGACCGUUUUAUACACCAACUAACUCUAGCAAGCAAAGUACCGUUUCAUCAGUUAGUUUUCUUAAGGCCAGUUAAGUAUUUCUGGUCGCCAUGACGAAAAUGUUGCUUGGGUAUUGGGAUCUUAGAGGGUUAGGCGAACCUAUUCGUUUAAUGUUGGAAUACGCUGGGUUCGAAUACGAAGAUAAGAGAUAUCAGUUUAUAAAGGAGAAGGAAGAUUACAGUGACAGGAAUUGGACCGAGCCCAAGUAUUCGCUUGGCUUCGAUUACCCCAAUCUUCCCUAUUUAAUUGAUGGAGACGUUAAAGUUACUGAGAGUUGGGCUAUCAUGAAAUAUCUGUCAAGAAAAUUUGAAAAACUUGGCCCUGAAAACGAAGAAGAACGGAUCAAGUGUGACGUCACAGAAGGCGUUGUUCAAGAUGUUCGAAAGCAGUUUUACGACUUAUGUUACUCAGCAACGUUUGUGACGUCGAAAGAAGAAUUCCUGCAAGAAAUCGCGCCAAAGUUGGAACAACUGCAACGGAGUUUGGAACAUCAUACUUGGCUGUGUGGUACAAAUCUAAAAUAUGUGGAUUUCGCAUUCUUCGAAUUCUUAGACCACCUUCGGGUCUGUCUACCUGGCAGUUUGGAUAAGUAUCCAUUAUUCGUCAAGAGUUUAAAGAGAUUUGAUUCCCUGGAAAAAAUCGCUGCUUAUAAAACGUCAGAAAAGUUUCAAAAAUGUCCUGUGAAUGGUCCAAUGGCCCAAGCCGGUGGGCAAGCGUGAUAUUAACCAUUUAAUAAACAAACAAAACGUAUUAUUGUACAAUAAUAACUUA